AUUGACGCUGGCGGCAGGCUUAACACAUGCAAGUCGAACGAGUGGCGGACGGGUUAGUAAAACGUGGUAACCUACCCGUCAGAGGGGGAUAACACUUGGAAACAGGUGCUAAUACUGCUUACUGAUGUAUGGUCCCCGGGUGCAUUAGCUAGUUGGUGAUGUAACGGCUCACCAAGGCCACGAUCCCUAGCUGGUCUGAGAGGAUGACCAGCCACACUGGAACUGAGACACGGUCCAGACUCCUACGGGAGGCAGCAGUGGGGAAUAUUGCACAAUGGGCGCAAGCCUGAUGCAGCCAGGCCGCGGGUGUGAAGAAGGCCUUCGGGUUGUAAAGCACGUUCAGCGAGGAGGUGUUACCCGCAGAAGAAGCACCGGCUAACUCCGUGCCAGCAGCCGCGGUAAUAC
rnacentral:rRNA from 1 species